rnacentral:lncRNA from 1 species
AAAUGGUAACCAUUGUAAAGUCCAACAAAAAGAAAAAAAAAUUAAACCAACCUAAAGCAAUGCAAUAAAACCAACAUAAGAAAUCACAAUCAAAAUUAUCCAAUUAAUUCAAUACAUUGGAUUGACUAAACCGACUAGAGAUCCAGCGAAAACUGUGCAUCACCAUCCACAAUAUAGAAAAUUGGACAAAAAUCUUAUCGCAAUUGAGAAUAAAACAGCAAUAAAUCGCCAAACAUCCACAGUAUCUAGAUGCCAAAAUCGUGCAAAGGACAGAGAGAACAUUAUCAAGAGGAGACGAGGAAGAUCUCGCGGCAUCACUGGCCUGAGGGAGUUGAAUCACCAGACACAGCGGCGACUCCUUGAGAUUCCAUUGUCAACAGCAUACAAAGUCCCUCGGCAAACAGAGCGAUAGUUCUCACAACUCCAACAAACCCAUCAACACCAGAUUGAAAAAAAAUCAUCACCCUUUCACUAAUAACAACCUAGAGACGGGAUGAAACAAAACCAAAUAAAUUCACCGGAGCUGACAAUGAGAGACGGCGAGGGAGACCAUCCUCCAAAAGCUGACCAAAACUAUACAUGUAAAACUCCCUUCCUUUGCCUUCCAACAAGAUCACAGAACCACCAAACAAAACAACAACGUCAAAAUCAGAAACUAGUCUCAUUCCUGAAUCUUCCUCUCUUCACUCCCUUCACUCAAUUUCUAUUGUUACUAAA